rnacentral:lncRNA from 1 species
UUAUUUUUGAAUAAAUUAAUUUUUGGAUAAAUUAGUCAAUAGAGUACUGACACACAAGUAAGACUCCAUGUAUGUCAAUAUUCUAUUGGUCAAUUGACAAUCUAAACACUAGCAUAUCUCUCCUCUCUCUCCUACUCUCUACUGUCAUACCACCACCACCACCACCACCAUAAAUCCCCACAACUUGUACUAGCAAAAGGAGUUAUCCCAGCAACACUUCAAUAAAAACAAAACCUCCAAAUCGCCUUCAAAUCUAAAUCUCUAUCUCUCUCUCACUCAAACACACACAACACCACUUCGUUGCAACAACGAAGCCACCAUGGUUGGACGAUCCAACAGACAGUCACAUCUGAAAAUCAUGUAAAUUUUGUCAUGGAUUUCUUUCAUCAGUAAUCAUCAUCGGAUCUAAUUUUGUACCAAAAUUUCGCUGUAAUGAAGAAGAUGAUGAAAUGGGUCUGAACACUUUGGAGUUGGAUCUAAGGUUUAUAUUUAGGAUUUUCUGUAAAUCCCAUAAUGAUGAUGGUGAUGAAGAUGACGGUAAUUCUCGAUUUAUGGUUGCUGAUUGAAUGAUUGUGGCGACGAGUUUUUUUGUAUCGAGGAGGGGAUCUGGUGUAUGUCUAGAUCUAGGGUUAGAUUUCGCAUCGAAGAAAAGUUCCAUCUUCAUUUUUGGGUGUCAAAGCCUGCUUCAUUUGGGGAUUUUUUGGAGCGAUUCUUUUCAACAAAAAAUAUUUGUUUUGAAAUGAAUGUUGGUAAUGUAGAGGUGGCUUUGGGUGGAUGUUUAAGGGUGGUGUUGAUGGAGUUGGUGGCCGCGUCGGCUAUUUGAGGUGAUGUUAUAUUAAUGUUUUUAUUUUUCUUUUGCUAUUAUAUAAUGCUGUAUUGUAUUUUUUACACUUAAAAUGAUUUAUAAUAAUUUCAUAAAAUGAUUUAUAUUAAUUACAAUUUGAGUAUUUUUUUUAACCCAUCACCUUUUACAUGACAUUUGUUUAAGUUAUUUCAUCAAUUUAUUACGUUAUAAUUUUAAUUAUAUUAUAGUAAAAAAAAUUAAUAAUUUAAUAAUAAAAAUUAAAAGAUCAAAUUAUUGAAGUGAAAAAAAUGUCAAUAACAUAAUUAGAGGGAAUGAAAUUAUUAUCAUUGUGGUGUGAACAUACAAUACAAGGAGGAUGAUUUUGAGUGUAUAUAUAGGCGAGUUUGUGUUUGUGACGCGAACACGUGUUAAGGAAACAUCAGGCUGGCGGGGCCCAAGUGUUUGUAACGCGAACACGUGUUAAGGAAACAGCAGGCUGGGCGGGCCCGAAGGGGGGUGUGUUAAGGAAACAGCAUGUUGGUCUGGGCGGGGCGGGAGCUUGGUAUGAAUAAGAAGUGUAGAAAGAAACAAUUAUUCAUCCAGCUGUAAUUCUGUGGGACAAAUUCUUUGCUUACUUUUGGCUAACACCUGUGAGAUUUUUGGGGUGACGUGGCAGUGGCUACUUGAUGUUUAACUCUAUCUCCAUUUUAGUCCUUUUGACUCACAAGUAUGUAUAUCCAAUUCAUGCAAAUUAAGAAAUCACUAGGGCGGGCGGGCAGGCAGGCAGGUAUACUGAGGUAAGUAGAUGUUUUAUACUCCUGUCCUUGUGCAAAUACUAAUAUUUUAUUCAUUUUAGAUAAUUAUUUUUGAUCAAAACAUAAUUUACAAUAUGUGGAAAACGAGAUAACACC